CCUACGGGGGGCAGCAGUCGAGAAUCAUUCACAAUGGGGGAAACCCUGAUGGUGCGACGCCGCGUGGGGGAAUGAAGGUCUUCGGAUUGUAAACCCCUGUCAUGUGGGAGCAAAUUAAAAAGAUAGUACCACAAGAGGAAGAGACGGCUAACUCUGUGCCAGCAGCCGCGGUAAUACAGAGGUCUCAAGCGUUGUUCGGAAUCACUGGGCGUAAAGCGUGCGUAGGCUGUUUCGUAAGUCGUGUGUGAAAGGCGCGGGCUCAACCCGCGGACGGCACAUGAUACUGCGAGACUAGAGUAAUGGAGGGGGAAGCGGAAUGCGCGGUGUAGCAGUGAAAUGCGGAGAUAUCGAGAGGAACACUCGUGGCGAAGGCGGGUUCCUGGACAUUAACUGACGCUGAGGCACGAAGGCCAGGGGAGCGAAAGGGAUUAGAUACCCUUGUAGUC
rnacentral:rRNA from 1 species